GAUGAACGCUGGCGGCGUGCCUAAUACAUGCAAGUCGAGCGAACAGACGAGGAGCUUGCUCCUCUGACGUUAGCGGCGGACGGGUGAGUAACACGUGGAUAACCUACCUAUAAGACUGGGAUAACUUCGGGAAACCGGAGCUAAUACCGGAUAAUAUAUUGAACCGCAUGGUUCAAUAGUGAAAGACGGUUUUGCUGUCACUUAUAGAUGGAUCCGCGCCGCAUUAGCUAGUUGGUAAGGUAACGGCUUACCAAGGCAACGAUGCGUAGCCGACCUGAGAGGGUGAUCGGCCACACUGGAACUGAGACACGGUCCAGACCCCUACGGGAGGCAGCAGUAGGGAAGCUUCCGCAAUGGGCGAAAGCCUGACGGAGCAACGCCGCGUGAGUGAUGAAGGUCUUCGGAUCGUAAAACUCUGUUAUUAGGGAAGAACAAAUGUGUAAGUAACUAUGCACGUCUUGACGGUACCUAAGCAGAAAGCCACGGCUAACUACGUG
rnacentral:rRNA from 1 species